UACGAACGGUGCAAGCGUUACUCGGAAUCACUGGGCGUAAAGCGCACGUAGGCGGACUCGUAGGUCAAUUGUGAAAUACCUGGGCUCAACCCGGGAACUGCAGUUGAAACCGCUUGUCUUGAAUACCUGAGAGGGUGGGGGAAUACCUGGUGGAGAAGUGAAAUUCGUAGAGAUCAGGUGGAACACCGGAGGCGAAGGCGCCUGCCUGGCAGUGUAUUGACGCUGAGGUGCGAAAGUGCGGGGAGCAAACAGG
rnacentral:rRNA from 1 species